AACGAACGCUGGCGGCAUGCCUAAUACAUGCAAGUCGAACGAGACCUUCGGGACUAGUGUCGCACGGGUGUGUAACGCGUGGGAACCUUCCCUUAGGUUCGGCAUAACUCCCCGAAAGGGGUGCUAACACCGGACAAUGUCUUCGGACCAAAGAUUUAUCGCCUUUGGAUGUGCCCGCGUUGGAUUAGCUUGUUGGUAGGGUAAAAGCAUACCAAGGCGACGAUCCAUAGCUGGGAUGAGAGAAUGAUCAGCCACACUGAGAGUGAGACACGGCCGAGACUCCUACGGGAGGCAGCAGUGGGGAAUAUUGGACCAUGGCCGAAAGGAUGAUGCAGCAAGGCCGGGUGAGUGAUGAAGGCCGUAGGGUUGUAAAGCUCUUUUAACCGGGAUGAUAAUGACGGUACCGAGAGAAUAAGCAACGGCUAACUCCGUG
rnacentral:rRNA from 1 species